rnacentral:tRNA from 1 species
GGCGCCAUAGCCAAGUGGUAAGGCAGAGGUCUGCAAAACCUUUAUCCCCAGUUCGAAUCUGGGUGGCGCCU